rnacentral:rRNA from 1 species
UACGUAGGGGGCGAGCGUUGUCCGGAUUUAUUGGGCGUAAAGCGCGCGCAGGCGGUUCAUUAAGUCUGGUGUGAAAGCUCCCGGCUCACCUGGGAGAGGGCACUGGAGACUGGUGGACUGGAGCGAGGCAGAGGCCGGUGGAAUUCCCGGUGUAGUGGUGGAAUGCGUAGAGAUCGGGAGGAACACCAGUGGCGAAGGCGGCCGGCUGGGCCUUGACUGACGCUGAGGCGCGACAGCGUGGGGAGCGAACCGG